rnacentral:rRNA from 1 species
GACGAACGCUGGCGGCGUGCUUAACACAUGCAAGUCGAACGGAAAGGCCCUGCUUUUGUGGGGUGCUCGAGUGGCGAACGGGUGAGUAACACGUGAGUAACCUGCCCUUGACUUUGGGAUAACUUCAGGAAACUGGGGCUAAUACCGGAUAGGAGCUCCUGCUGCAUGGUGGGGGUUAGAAAGUUUCGGCGGUUGGGGAUGGACUCGCGGCUUAUCAGCUUGUUGGUGGGGUAGUGGCUUACCAAGGCUUUGACGGGUAGCCGGCCUGAGAGGGUGACCGGCCACAUUGGGACUGAGAUACGGCCCAGACUCCUACGGGAGGCAGCAGUGGGGAAUAUUGCACAAUGGGCGGAAGCCUGAUGCAGCAACGCCGCGUGCGGGAUGACGGCCUUCGGGUUGUAAACCGCUUUCGCCUGUGACGAAGCGUGAGUGACGGUAAUGGGUAAGAAGCACCGGCUAACUACGUG